CCGAUAGAUUCCCUCUUCAAUCAGAUCUAUAAAAGGCCCAAUAAAGAGCCAAUCACCUUCAAUCGAUUUUUUCUUUCUCGAAUUUCGAUUUCUAGGGUUCUUCCGCUUUCCUCUCUCACCCAAUUAUCAUCAUGUCGUCCAAACAAGGUGGAAAGGCGAAACCUUUGAAGCAACCCAAGGCCGAUAAGAAAGAGUACGAUGAGACUGACCUAGCAAAUAUUCAGAAGAAGAAAGAGGAGGAAAAGGCUUUGAAGGAGCUGAAGGCGAAGGCAUCUCAGAAGGGAGCCUUCGGAGGGUCUGGGCUCAAGAAGAGCGGGAAGAAAUAACUACAACCUAUCUUUGUACUAAUGUUAGGAAAAUGGCAAAUUACUUUAUGGAUCCCCCCACCUACUUACGUAUUUGGCUUUUAUUAUGUGAAACCUUGGUAUUGUGAAUCUGCGUAAUGCUUCUACUUACCAAAUGUUAUUCAAAAUAAAGGCGUGCUGCUACUGAAACAGAAGUUUGUCAUAUAGUUAUUUAUUUGUGAUGUGGUUUUAAUUCUGGCUUUGAUGAUGAA